GCUUUCUGAAAAAGAAUUUUAGAUUCGUUUAUAAAUGGUAGCAGAAUGUUAUGAAAAGACUAAUUUCUGAAAUACACAGUUAUUCAUUUUUAGGGGUCUCCAGCAAUUAGUAGAUAAUAGAUAUGAUUUCCUAAUGCAAUAAUCCUAGGAAGUAUUACUGUAGGUUAUAGUAGCUGUUUUAUAAUUAAUGAUCUAAUUGAACAAAAAACCAACAAGAAAUACUUAGCUUCUUAUUUAUUAUCUAUUUGAAAAUAUGAAUAAGCACUAGAUUCUAUAAGGAUAAAUCAAUGAUUGCAUUUUUCUCUCAUUCUUAACACUGAUGUUAAUAAACAAAUCUAGUGGGUGGGUGUGGUGGUGGCUCACGCCUGUAAUCACAGCACUUUGGGAGGCCAGGGAGUGUGGAUCACUUGAGGUGAGGAGUUCGAGACCAGCCUGGCAAACAUGGUAAAACCCUGACUCUACCAAAAAAAUUUAAAAAUUAGCUAGAGGUGAUGAGCACCUGUAAUCUCAGCUACUCGGGAGGCUGAGGCCGGAGAAUUGCUUGAACACAGAAGGUAGAAUUUGCAGUGAGCCAAGACUGCGCCACUGCACUUCAGCCUGGGUGACAGAGUAAGACUCCAUCUCAAACAAAACAAAACAAAAAACAAAUCUAGUUAACUUGUUAAUUUAGCAGUUAUUCAUUGGCCUUUUGCUCCCAAUACUCCCAAUACCAAUACUGUGUUUGGUAUUUUCAGAUUAAAAGAACCUCAGUUUUGAAUCUUGUCCUCCAAAAAGACAAAUGCAAAACAUACUGUAUAACUGUAGUUCAAGAUAAAAAGUGAAAAAUGUUACCAAGUCUAAGAGACUACUUCUAGAUUUUGGUGAGGAAAGGGAAAGCUUUGAAAAGACAUGGAAAGCAUUUGAAAGCACUGAAAUGGUGUGAGCAACAUUCAGUCCAAGCUGGCGGUACAACAUCUGCAAUCAUGAGAGGGCUGGAAGGAGCACGGAUAUGUGAAAGGAACUGGUAAAAAAAUAAGACUGUGGAGUCACAUGUAAGUCAUAAUGCUGGCCAGGCCAAGGAUUUUAUACAUAAAAGUCACCAGAGCUUUUUGAGCAGGGGAGUGACAUGAUGAAGGCUAAACCGAAUGAUGAGUUGUCUGGCAGCAGUGUGCUAAAUGGAAUGGAAAGGGGAGAGAACAGAAGGAGAGAAGCCAAGUAGGACGUAAGAAGGGGCGAGGCUGAAGCAGUGUGGUAGUAAUGUAGAAGUGGAGUCAACUGAAAAACUUCUUACGGAGGCAGAGUCCAUAGGCAAAUGAUGAAAUCUUAUAGGUCAAGCUAUGGAAUCUUUCAGAUGAUAUUCUGAUACUUCUGGACAAAGUCAUUAUGAAAUUGUUUCUAAAUGCCUUUUGAUUUCUGGGUGAUCACUUUAUUACUAUUGUACAGCAUCAAACUUUUAUGAAUUGAUAGGAGAUAUUAAUAACUUCCAAGGAUAAAAGAAAUUAUCAUCAAUAAAAUGAUGCUUUGAAAAGAACUUGAAAAAUGAGGAAAUUCUAAUCAUAUGAAAAAAGUUUAAAAAAAAUAUAGUGUUUUUAAAGAGCAAUACUGGAAGAAGAAGAAUUUAAGAAGAUUUAACAUUCAGUACAUUUAAAAAACACAAUUAUUAUUCUAAAUAAAUAAGGAAAAAUCUCAACUACUUUGAGAGAUUCAAAGAUGGAAUCUUGCUUUGUCUCACCCAGGCUGGAAUGCAGUGGCACGAUCUCAGCUCACUGCAGCCUCCACCUCCCAGGUUCAAAUGAUUCUCCUGCCUCAGCCUCCUGAGUAGCUGGGAUUACAGGUAUGCACCACUAUGACUGGCUAAUUUCGUAUUUUGAGUAGAGACGGGGUUUACCAUGUUGGCCAAGCUGGUCUCAAACGCCAAACUUCAGGUAAUCCACCUGCCUCAGUCUCCCAAAGUGCUGGGAUUACAGGCGUGAGCCACUGCACCCAGCCUCAGUGAAAGGUUUUAAACUGCAAGGAAUUGUCAUCUAAUGGUAAUACCUGCAACUCUUCUUGCACUGCCCUGAAUUGAGGAAAAAUGAUAUCUCAAUGAAAAUAAGAUAGAAGGACACAUUCAAAUAAUCAAUGUUUUAUGUAACUUGAAGAGAAAAUUGUUCCAAGAAGUAUUUGUUAAUCUUAAAUUGAUGAUUAACAAUAUCUGAAACAAUCUGCUAUCAUGUUUGAUAAUCAUGGCAUCUGAAACAAUACUAUAUUGACAUUAAUUAAAAUGGAGACAAAGAACACCAAAGAGCAUAACGUAUAAAAAUCAGAAUAUUUUCUCUAAGAAAUAAUAAAAGAUUUGACAGGUUUUGAAUGCUUAUAAUGUGCCAAAAACUGUGGCAAGUCAUUCUUGUGUAUUAUUUCAACUAUUCCUAACAAUAAUUGUAUGAGGCUAGAUACUAUUAUUACCUCUAUCAUAAGGAAAUUUAAGAAAAUAAAAAACUUAAAUUUUAAUUUUAAUUAAUCAUAUAAAACAUUUAAUGAUUUAAUUAAUUAAAUUAUUUAAAUUUUAAUUACAAAAAAUUUAAGAAAAGUGAAGCUAUGACCUUGAAGUAAAAAUAUAUUUACAGAUAGCUUUAAUAUUAAUACAUUUCAUUAUAUAGAGCUGGGAUUUAAUUUUAGCAGCCUAAUUCCAAAUCACAUGCCCUUUAGCCUUUAUCAUCAUCAUCCAAGACACUGUCUUCAGAAGAAAAGGUGUGGUAUUUGUCUUAUAUAGAAAAGAACUUCUAAUGACAUGGAGCAACCUCUCCAAUGCCAGUUGCUGCGUUACUCCUUGCCUCUCUAUCCUAUUUGUGGGGUCCAAUGUUCUGGGAAUCAGUAACAUUGUAUACCCAGUCAAAGGUUCCAGCUACCAUGGCAUGUUUGUAGCAGUUUUUUUGGGACGUGGUCUUGCUGUGUGGCUCAGGUAGGAGUGCACUGGUUAGUUACAGAUGUGACUGUAGAGCACUGAAGCCUCAAACUCAAGGGAUUCUUCUGUCUCAGCCUCCUAAGUAGCUGGGAGUAUAGGUGUGUGCCAUCGUGCCUGGCUGAUGUUUACAAGUCCAGGCUGUGCUUCACCGGUGUGGCGUCUGAGCUCACUGAGCACACCUUGGGCUUUGGGAGGUUCCGACUGACCUAAAGCUUGGGUUGUUUAUGCAGUUCUCUGGGGAAUGAGCCUGGUUGUUGAUCUUUAAUGAAGGAUGCUACUUUGCUGAGGAAGAGUUUAAUCUAGUUAUAUCCCUGCAGGUAAAAUUAUGAAAAAGACACUGUGGCUAUGGACUAGCCUGUGACCUACUCUACUAAGCUCAAGUUCUCUGGCUCAUUCUAGAUAGUUAAAAGGGUUACACUUGGCAGAGUGAAAAUUACCAUGGUUUUGUUCCACCUGGUGUGACUGUAAUAUAUUUUUGAAUAAGAAAAUAUGAGUAAGAGUAUCAGACAGAAGACAACAGUUUUUUUUUUGUGAGGAAGAUACGUAAUUUUGAGAAUGGCAAGCUGGAUGAUAAUAGGAAUGAUAGAAGUUAAGUGAAGACUUUGAAAGAAAAAUAUAUUCACAGAUAGCUUUAAUAUUAAAUAUAUUUCAUUACAUAGGGACUCUAACCUACAAAUGAUUUGACCAGUGACACUUCCUCUUACUAAUUGGCCAUGUACAUUUUAAUGGUCUGUUUCUAAUUUUCUAGCUGCCUAAGAUAAUCAUAUUUUGUUAUACUGGCAUAGCUGUCUUGAGUCUUUCAACUAAAAGUGACAGAUAUUCCCUAAUCAAUGUGCUCUUUCCCCAUUAGGUGACUGAUAUGUGAUUCUUCUUCCUUGUAGCAGGAUGGGAUGGAAAAAGACUAUGUUCCAAGUAUUGAUAUGUUUGUUUUCUCAUACAGAAAUUAUCAGAGUAAUCAGUAUUGGUUGAAGCCUUUUUUGAUAAGUGAUAAAAUUAAUAAUUAAUAAAUACACUAUCACUUGCUUUCCUUUGCUGCUAGUCUACUUUAAUUGCAUUGCUAAUAGGGUUUCUCAUACAACUUUUUUUUUUUUAAACAGAGAUGGGGAUCUUACUCUGUCACCCAGGCUGGAGUACAGUGUACAGUGGUAUGAUCAUAGCUUAUUGCAGCCUUGAACUCCGGGGCUCAAAUGAUCCUCUUGCCUCAUCCUCCAGAGUAGCUGGGAAUAUAGGCACAUGACAUCUUAUCUGGCUAUUUUUAUUUUUAAAAAUUUUUAAGGGAAGGGGUCUCACUAUCUUGCCCAAGCUGGUUUCAAGCUCUGGGGCACAAGUGAUCCUCCUGCCUCAGCCUUCUGAGUAGCUGGGAUUAUAGGUGUGAGCCACAUCACCAGUCUGAUGUAUCUAUUAAAAUCUUCCCAGCUAUACAAUUAUCAUAGUCCCUUGUUUCCAAAUGCCAACUUGGGGUAAUAAUUUGUUUUAUUUAAUAUGAUGAGGCUCAUUAUAAAUGUCUAUCAAAUCAGAUGGUCUAGCCAGGAAAAUGUCUAGCAAUUACAUUGGUGUUUAUGGUCACUCUGAUAAUGCAAUUAUUUCCUUGAUAUGUUUAAAUAUGUACAAAAAAGAUGUUCCAUGUAUCAAACAACUGACAUGUAAACUUUUAGAAAAGUAUAUGUUAGAUGUUGCAUAUACACAUGGUAAUUCUAUAGACAUUAAUUAAAAAAUAUAAGGUGAUUUUAAUGACUUCUUAUUUAAAUAUUUGUUUUGAUCUGAGCACCCAAUGCCCUGAACAUUCUGGAUAACAGAAGAUAAUAGCUGUACUAGAAUAAUUUCCAGUAAUAUCCCAGGGACCACCUUUUAAAUACAGAUUAUCAACUAAGCUAGAAUAUUGGACAAAGAAAGGAAGUGAUGAAAUGUAUUACAGCAGUGAUGAUUUUUAACAUUUAAAUUAACUGCUGAAGUAUUUAACUAUUUAGAUAACUAAUUUCUAUAUAUAGAGUACAGUAAUUGCUAAGAGGCUAUUAUUGUUAACAGGAUAAACUUAAUUGUGCAAUACCAGAUUAUAAUUUGACCCUAGAAUUCAGAAAUAAAAACAAAAAAGGACAAAAUAGAUUUUGAAUAUAAAAAAAGCCAAAAGAUAUAACUGAGAGGAAUAAAAAUACUAACAUUUAAUUUUAAAAUUUGGAGAUGUUUUCGGCUAUAGUCACUUGACAUUUAAGAUACUUGUUAAAUCAUACAGCUUAUCCUCUUAUUUUUGUUUUAAAAUUUGUUGAUUUUAAUUAAAUGGAUGGUUACCCACACGGAAAAAAAGAACAAAGCAGCUGGUCUCUGCCUGAUGGUAAAAUCUUCUCCUGGCCUAUAGAGCUAAGGCACACCAUUUUACUUGGACUUUGGGAAAAUCUAGUUUUCAGUGUGAGUGGAUUUUGUGAUAAAAUUACAAAUGCAAGACCUAUGUUACUUUAGUGUCACUAUAUAAAUGCUCCUGGUUUUUAAACAGUCCUAAUUAAUGCUCAGUGUAAGGACAAGAAAUAAGCUGUCUUCACCGAAAGCCAUAAACCAUGAGAGAAAUGGUUAAUACUUUUUAAAAAUAUGUGGUGGUACAGGUGCUGUAGAAUGUGGCUCCAGAAAGAAAGAUCUUAAAUUAUCUUCAGUGAACAGUAUAUGGGGAAUUUGUGAGGCUCCAUGCUCAAAUCCUGAGUUCUUAGAUUUUGGAAGUUAGGAUCAUCACUGUUUAUGGAAAACUUCUUAAAACAAUGGUUGUCCUCUUUUCCUGAAAGUUGAGUUAUGAUUGUGAAUAAAGGAAUCCACUGUCUGACUGUUACUCCUUUGGCGUAUUUUGAAUUACAUCUGAACUCAGUUUAUAGAUAGCUGACAGGAUGAAGUGAUGAAACAUGUGGUAGACAGAAAGGAGUUUCAUUAAAAGAGCUGCUUAGGUGCUUCCAGUCUAGGUAAUUACUCAUUUUUAUGCUCUAUUCCUGGGGAAUACAGUAUAGUGGCUGGCACACAGUAGGCACUUAGUAGAUGUCUGCUGUACUAAACUGAAGGUUUAGGAGUAAAUAACAAAUUUGUGCAGUUGUGUAACUUUAGCUUUCCUUGAGGUCUUAUAAUAUGCCAUGUCAAUGAUUACUGUGGAAGACAUCCAUUUGGGCUUUGAAUAAUAACAUGAUAUCAGCUUAGGUAAUGGGGCUUGAACAAAUGUGCAGGGAACACAGGAGACUUGUAAAUAUGGUAUUAUGAAAAACACAUGGGAUUUGAAGGCCAAAGGUAUGUAGUUAACACUGCUUUGAUCUCUAGUAAACCCUUGACCCCCCUGAGCCUUAGUUUGUGUAUUCAUUCAUCUAAACAUUUAGUGAAUAUACACUGUAUGCCUUUUACACAGAUGAAAGAGAGACAAACCUUGACCUGGAGAUGCUUAAGGAUACCAAAAUGAAACUGUAAUGGAAUGUUUCCUCAUAUGUAGAAUCAGAGUAACAACACCAAACAAUAUCAUCUACUGCACAGAUUCGGUGAGGCAAUUACCACAUACUAGUACUUAACUUCCAAUGUAUUAUAAAAGUGCUUUGUAACUACAAAGCAGUACAGUGGUGCUAUCUCAGCUAACUGCAACCUCUGCCUCCUUCAAGUGAUGCUCCUGCCUCAGCCUCCCAAGCUGGGAUUACAAGUGUGUGCCACCACACUUGCCUAAUUUUUAUAUUUUUAGCAGAGACAGAGUUUUGCCAUGUUGGCCAAGCUGGUCUCAAACUCCCAACCUCAGUGAUCCACCUGCCUUGGCCUCCUAAAGUACUGGGAUUACAGACGUAAACCACCACAUCGGCCCCAUAAGCAGUUUUUAAUGAGAGUUCUUCUAAUUUCUUUUUUGGAAUAAAUGAAGAUGCUUGGAACCCUGGUUCAAGUUCUGUCAACCUACUUCCCAGUUAUAAAUUUAGAAUG